AAAUUGAAGAGUUUGAUCAUGGCUCAGAUUGAACGCUGGCGGCAGGCCUAACACAUGCAAGUCGAGCGGUAGCACAGAGAGCUUGCUCUCGGGUGACGAGCGGCGGACGGGUGAGUAAUGUCAGGGAAACUGCCUGAUGGAGGGGGAUAACUACUGGAAACGGUAGCUAAUACCGCAUAACGUCGCAAGACCAAAGU
rnacentral:rRNA from 1 species